UCAACUUCUAAUCAGAAACGACUCUCAGACGGCGCCCUGGUUCAGAAAGAAAGGAAGGAGAAACGGGGUGAGUCACCGCCCAAACCAUCUGAAUGAAACAAAGACACAACAAACGCUGCCUUCCAACUGCGCCAGAACCGAUGACCUCAGUCCUGCAGAGACGCAGCUGGAGAGAAUUAAGGGGAUCUCCGGUUCCCCGAGAUAGCGAAGACGGCCCAGCCGACCCCCCAUGACUCACGCAGCUAAAGGAAACUGAUGCGCAGUUAAGGAUGUCCCUUCAUCGGAAAAUCGCAGGAGACGUUUGCAGUGUUUCAUCCAACACGCAUGAUGCCAACGAAUUUACUAUUCACUUAAUCCUCACAGCUCUGCAAGGGAAUUACUCCUACCACCCCCCUUUUACUGAUGAGGACGUCGAGGCUCAGAGAGGGUACGUAAGUCAUCCAAGGUCACACAGCUAGUGAGUGGCAGAGCCAGGAUUUGUUCCUACAUGUUGUCCUCUGCCUCCGUUUUCGAAACACUUACGAGGUUCAGCGCAGGGUGAAACCCAUGCCCUGGGAAGUAAUGUCUUAUUUUUUCCAGCUUGUUGGGAUAGACUUCUAAUCCCUUCAACCUCUCUCAUCUGGCUAAACAACAGUCCUUGCUCUGCUGCAGUUGGUGGCUCAGAGACCCCUCAUCUGCGGCUGCCCAUGAGCACACCGCAGGCCUCUCGCUUUGUCUGGGAGAGUGGCUCUCCUGUGACAACAGAAACAUGAGUCAGUGGUGCUGAUGGGGGCCUGGGGCCAGGGGACUCUCAAAAGCAGCCGUGCAGGAGCAACAGCUGGAACAGGGCCGCCUCCACAUCUGAGAGGCCCCCCACCCCAUCACGACACAGCCCGGGGGCCCUUUGGCCAUCUCUCCCGUCAAGGCCACUUACGAAGGAGUCGGAGGGAGUACUGGCACCCAGCCCGUGAGUGAGCAAAUCCCCUAGCAUAUUCGCUCUCUCUGCUUCUCUACCUGCAGUGACACCUCCCCCAAGGCCCAAGGCUGCCACUCACUGGGCAUCUGUGCAGGCGCAGGCCCCCUUCCCUCUCUACCCCAGCCUCGUCUCUGACACGGGGAGGUGGGUGAAUAGAAAGUAUCACGCCAGGGGUCCCCAUGGCCUCCUGCUGGCCCAGGUAACCAAAGAUCCUUACUGACCGCAGAUGAAGCUUGUCUUGGUCCAUACUUAAGGCCAUCAACUCUCAUACCCUCAUCUUUAAAAGGGUCUGCCUUAUAGGACUAAUGUAUAAUAGUAAUAACAAUUAAAAGCUCAAUAAUCCAUUGCAAGCUGGCAAAGCCAAGUCCGGGCUCAGCCCCAGCCUCGGCACAGACGGCUUGCAACAGAUUACUGAGCUUUUGAUUAUUAUUACUAUUAUACACUGAUCCUCACAAAACUGGUUUAUUUCUUGCCCCAUUCUCCCAGGUCAGGUUUCCAAAUCGAGGGCAGAGGUUGUGCCAAACCUGCCGACGGGUUUCAUCUGGCACACGAGGUGUCAGCCCACAUAAUAGUUUUAAAACUUGAGAUAGUUGCCAAAGGAAUUAGUUAGGGUACAGUUCAAGGGGCUGACCUGGAGACCCCCAAAUAACAGCAGCUUAAAGAAGAGAUCAUUUUAUACCUCUCUGCCAGGAAGUUCAAGGACUGGCAGGUGGCUACAGAAGCUCCAUGGGGCCAGGGACCCAGGUUCCCCCUUCCUGCUCUGCCUGCUUCCCAGAGUGACUUCCAGAGGUCCACCUCAUCUGGCUCUGCAUUCGGCCAGCAGCAGGAGGGCAGGGGAGGCGUGCCCACUUUUUGAGGAUGAGGCCUGGCAGCGGCUCACGUCACUUCUGCUCAGCCCCUUGGCCUGAGCUUGGUCAUGUGGUCACACACAGCUGUUGGAGGUGCAGCUUAUUCGGGAUGGCCACAAGCCUAGCUACGAUGCAGAAUACUAUUAUCAAAGACGAAGAAAACCAGCGUGGGGGACAAAGAGCAGUCUCUGACACGCUGACAAUUAACAAUCAGGACACUUUAGAUUCUGGUGCAUCUCGAUUAUAAGGAGAACUGACACGCACUGAGCACCUCUACGCCCCCGCCUCCGCCCACCCUGCAUCAGCCACACGAGGGAGGUGCAUCAGAGACUGUGAGCUGGAAUUCAGACUUGCCCCCAAGGAAGGGCAAAGCCAAGCCCCUUCUCCUACCCCAUCCGGGUGUGUGCUGGAUGGCUGUGCUAGGAAAAACUCUGGAAUGGCCCAGCGAGUCAAUUCCCUAAGUCCCUUCCCCCAGUUCCUUUCCUCCUGAUGGCUGAGGGCCCACCAGGCACAAGGCUCCCCUACAGAGUAUGCUUCCUGCCAUCUGGUCCUCGGGCUGAGGACAGGGGAAGGUGCCUGAGGGCUCUGCUGGCACCAACACUCACACUGGCUUCCUACCCUUGUCUGCCCCAGAAGCCUAGGAGCCUUUUGGGGAAGCUAAGCUAAUGGUACGCCAUCCCUACGGGAGAGGCGGGGCCACCCCGGGGCCACCCGGUGGCGGGGUCCCCCACACUACGGCUCCUGGCUGCUCCAACAGGAAAACCAGCGGUGUGUGCUUUCGCCUCCCAGCGGGUCAUAAAUAUCGCUCCUGGAGAUUAGCGGGGCCCCACGCUCCUGUUCUCAGCCUCUCCAAGGGACUCGAGGCAGGGCUGAGUCACGGUCCCCGGCCCUUUCUAAAUUGUACUUAAAAUGAAAAAAUAAAUAGGAGAGGGAAAGGGCCUGAUUGUUUGUAAGAGCAGAAGAAUGAGCUUUCUUUGUGCUUGCAGGCCUCCAGAAGGACCCAAGGGAGUGAGCUCAGGGCUGCUGCUCCCGCUCACCAAACUUCACCUUCAAGGUGAAGCCAGGAGCCAAAGAAAAUAUUGUGAUAAAGUCUAAGUUACUGCCGAUGCCUACCCGGCCACUUGAUUAACUGAACCGAGUGCAAACAAAUCUUCCAGCUCCUUCCUCUCUGCAAAUCUGGGUGGGAGGAGACGAGGCCUGGGCUCGGAGCCAGCCUCCCGCUCGCCACACUCUGCUCUGUGCCCUGCUUUUUUCUUUCCUUGUCUCUUUCUACAGGGUACACGGGACUCGCUGCGUGACCUCUGGGGCCUGGUGCAAACUGAAGACGCAGGGUCCUUGUUCAAAAAGCAGGGGAAAAAUAGCGCCACUAAAGAUCCUAAAAUAUAAAGGUGUUUCCUUUAUUCUGCGGUC